CAGUAGCCGCGGUAAUACAGAGGGUGCAAGCGUUAAUCGGAUUUACUGGGCGUAAAGCGUGUGUAGGUGGCUGUUCAAGUCGGUUGUGAAAGCCCUGGGCUCAACCUGGGAAUUGCUUCCGAGACUGAGCGGCUAGAGUACGGUAGAGGGCGGUGGAAUUUCCGGUGUAGCGGUGAAAUGCGUAGAUAUCGGAAGGAACACCAAUGGCGAAGGCAGCCGCCUGGGCCUGUACUGACACUGAGACACGAAAGCGUGGGGAUCAAACAGGAUUAGAUACCCCGGUAGUCCCUGUCUCUUAUAC
rnacentral:rRNA from 1 species